rnacentral:rRNA from 1 species
AGAUUGAACGCUGGCGGCAUGCCUUACACAUGCAAGUCGAACGGCAGCACGGGAGCAAUCCUGGUGGCGAGUGGCGAACGGGUGAGUAAUACAUCGGAACGUGCCCAAUCGUGGGGGAUAACGCAGCGAAAGCUGUGCUAAUACCGCAUAAGAUCUACGGAUGAAAGCAGGGGAUCGCAAGACCUUGCGCGAAUGGAGCGGCCGAUGGCAGAUUAGGUAGUUGGUGAGGUAAAGGCUCACCAAGCCUUGAUCUGUAGCUGGUCUGAGAGGACGACCAGCCAACACGUGGGACUGAGACACGCCAG